rnacentral:lncRNA from 1 species
AGCUUCUCCUGUGGCACCAUGAAGCCCUUGAUAGCUCUGACUAGCUUCACCUGGCACCUCCUCUGCCCAUGAGCCUGGCCUGGGCAGUACUAUGGGCAUGCCACUGCCCCCGUCUCCUGAUGUAGGUGUUGAUUUCAGCUUUGGGGACACUGUGUGGUCACAGAUGUGUGGUCCCCAUGGAUGCCUGCCUGCUCAGCCAGGGGCAUCAUUGCGUUGGGCAAGCUGUGGCCUGGGCAGCGACAGUGGUGUCAGAGGACCCAUGGUGGAGCUUUGGAGGCAGUGACUGUAUUUUAAUCUCCCUGUGUGGAUGUGGUUAUUUUGGAGUCACAAUGUGGUGUGAAGGGCUUGGAGACAUCAAAGCAAAUUGCAUCUUCAAAAGCUGGACUGAUGAGAGCAUCCUGCCCUGGUCCCUGGUUCCAGCCAGAGCCAACAAGUGAGAUGCAUGUGAAAAUGAAAGAGGUAUAUGGAGCAAUAAUAAAGUCCCUCUUGCCAAAUCUGAAAAAUGUCA